GAGAUGGUAACUGUUGGUGGAGACGCUGACUUGGCAGCUUACCACUCCAGUGCGUUGGAGAAGCCCAACCCCAGAGCCACUGAUUCAGUCAACCAAAGGCUGGCAGGAAGGACUUCCCAAAACACCCACCUCUGAGGCCUUUCCAGAGGAUUUGCUGAAUGCCGAGACAGUAGGCAAACAAGAGAAGAAGGAGGUGGUUUCUGUGAGCCCCACCGUGUUAGCUGCUGAACAGAACCCUACAUCUGGUUCAAGCUUCCAGGUGGGCUUAGGCCUUGAACUUCAGGCAGAGCCCCUCCAGUCCCCUGGCAUGGAGAGCAAUGACUUUAACGUGAGUCCUCCCGGUCACGACGACAUCGGCCGGGCUGAUAUGUACCGCUGGAAGGUCUCUGCCCAGGCUCCCUGCAGCUCCACCUGUACCUCGGGUAUUAGUGCCUCCUACGCCAUGUGUGUGCGUUAUGAUGGAGUGGAAGUGG
rnacentral:lncRNA from 1 species